UCACGACAUCGUGGAAAUAUCAAAUCUUCGGAGCCUUGGGAUGAGCCUGCGUCUGAUUAGGUAGUUGGCGGAGUAAUAGCCCACCAAGCCUACGAUCAGUAGCUGGUCUGAGAGGAUGAUCAGCCACACUGGAACUGAGACGGUCCAGACUCCUACGGGAGGCAGCAGUAAGGAAUAUUGCUCAAUGGGGGAAACCCUGAAGCAGCAACGCCGCGUGAAGGAUGAAAUACUUUUGUAUGUAAACUUCUGUAAGAUGGGAAAAUAUUCUCCUCGGGAGAAUUGAUUGUACCAUCAGAGUAAGCCCCGGCUAACUACGUGCCAGCAGCCGCGGUAAUACGUAGGGGGCAAGCGUUGUCCGGAUUCACUGGGUGUAAAGGGUGCUCAGGCGGACUUGUAAGUCAGAGGUG
rnacentral:rRNA from 1 species